rnacentral:rRNA from 1 species
CGGAGGGAUCAUUACAAGAACGCCCGGGCUUCGGCCUGGUUAUUCAUAACCCUUUGUUGUCCGACUCUGUUGCCUCCGGGGCGACCCUGCCUUCGGGCGGGGGCUCCGGGUGGACACUUCAAACUCUUGCGUAACUUUGCAGUCUGAGUAAACUUAAUUAAUAAAUUAAAACUUUUAACAACGGAUCUCUUGGUUCUGGCAUCGAUGAAGAACGCAGCGAAAUGCGAUAAGUAAUGUGAAUUGCAGAAUUCAGUGAAUCAUCGAAUCUUUGAACGCACAUUGCGCCCCCUGGUAUUCCGGGGGGCAUGCCUGUUCGAGCGUCAUUUCACCACUCAAGCCUCGCUUGGUAUUGGGCAACGCGGUCCGCCGCGUGCCUCAAAUCGUCCGGCUGGGUCUUCUGUCCCCUAAGCGUUGUGGAAACUAUUCGCUAAAGGGUGUUCGGGAGGCUACGCCGUAAAACAACCCCAUUUCUAAGGUUGACCUCGGAUCAGGUAGGGAUACCCGCUGAACUUAAGCAUA